CAAAGGAAUUGACGGGACCCCGCACAAGCGGUGGAUCAUGUUGUUUAAUUCGAUGAUACGCGAAGAACCUUACCAGGUCUUGACAUCCCCCGCGAUGCUUUAGAGAUAAAGCGGAGGUAUUCGGGGAGACAGGUGGUGCAUGGUUGUCGUCAGCUCGUGUCGUGAGAUGUUGGGUUAAGUCCCGCAACGAGCGCAACCCCUAUUGCUAGUUACCAUCAUUAAGUUGGGGACUCUAGCGAGACUGCCAGUGAUAAACUGGAGGAAGGUGGGGAUGACGUCAAAUCAUCAUGCCCCUUAUGACCUGGGCUACAAACGUGAUACAAUGGCUGGAACAAAGGGAUGCGAAGCAGUGAUGUGGAGCGAAACCCAUAAAAACAGUCUCAGUUCGGAUUGAAGUCUGCAACUCGACUUCAUGAAGUCGGAAUCGCUAGUAAUCGCGGAUCAGAACGCCGCGGUGAAUACGUUCUCGGGGUUU
rnacentral:rRNA from 1 species